CCUACGGGCGGCAGCAGUGGGGAAUAUUGGGCAAUGGGCGAAAGCCUGACCCAGCAACGCCGCGUGAAGGAAGAAGGCUUUCGGGGUGUAAACUUAUUUUGACAGGGAAGAGCAGAAGACGGUAACUGUCGAAUAAGCCACGGCUAACGACGUGCCAGCAGCCGCGUUAAUACGUAGGUGGCAAGGGUUGUACUGAUUUACUGGGUUUAAAGGGUUCGUAGCCGGGCUGACAAGUCAGAUGUGAAAUCCGGGGGCUCAAACCCCGAACUGCAUUUGAAACUGGUGGUCUUGAGUAGCGGAGAGGCAGGCGGAAUGCCUAGUGUAGCGGUGAAAUGCGUAGAUAUUAGGAAGAACACCAGUGGCGAAGGCGGCCUGCUGGACGACAACUGACGGUGAGGCGCGAAAGCGUGGGGAGCAAACAGGAUUAGAUACCCCUGUAGUC
rnacentral:rRNA from 1 species